CCUACGGGAGGCAGCAGUGAGGAAUCUUUGUCACUGGACGCAAGUCUGAACCAGCCAUGCCGCGUGCAGGAAGACGGCUCUAUGAGUUGUAAACUGCUUUUGUACGCGGGUAAACGCAGAUACGUGUAUUCAGCUGAAAGUACUUUACGACUAAGGAUCGGCUAACUCCGUGCCAGCAGCCGCUGUCAUACGGAGGAUUCAAGCGUUAUCCGGAUUUAUUGGGUUUAAAGGGUGAGUCUGCGGAUUGAUAAGUUAGAGUUUAAAUGUCCGAGCGUAACUCUGGAAAUGCCUCUAAUACUGUUGAUCUAGUGAGUAGAUGCGGUAGGCGGAAUGUAUGGGGUAGCGGUGAAAUGCUUAGAGAUCAUACAGAACACCGAUUGCGAAGGCAGCUUACCAAUCUAUAUCUGACGUUGAGGCACGAAAGCGUGGGGAGCAAACAGGAGUAGAUACCCCGGUAGUC
rnacentral:rRNA from 1 species